rnacentral:lncRNA from 1 species
GAAAACCCUUUACCCGGCAUAUCACUCCUAUAUCAUACAGCCAGAAUCUAUACGAAAUUAACCCCGUAUAUGCUUGAUAUCACUCAAAAUGGUUCCUACCUUGUCCGCCUUCAUUUCUUUCCAUUCAGCUUCAAAAGGACUCAUCUUGCUGAUGCUUUGUUCGAUGUGUCUGCUUCAAAUUUUUCACUUUUAACAGAUUUUAGAGUCCCGAACAGUACUACUGAGUUCCCAGUGAUCAAGGAGUUCUUUCUCACGAUUGCUGCAGGAAAAUUCAAAAUCUACUUUAAACCAGCUGAAGAAACAUCUUAUGCUUUCGUGAAUGCCAUAGAAGCCUUUCUUCUCCCACCAAAUUUCUUCUUGGAUAAUGCCUCUGCAACUCCUCCUUUACGGACCGAAGAUGGACUUCUUAGGACACUUUAUAGGAUCAAUGUUGGAGGUCCAGAAGUUAACGAUACCCUGUGGAGGAAUUGGGUACCAGAUGAUGAUUAUCUAACUUUCGGGGGUUCGGGUGCAAACCGUAUUUUUGGUGGUGAACUUCAUGAGGCCAGUCAAGGGUUGAUUGUCCAAGAAAUCGCCCCUGAUUCUGUGUACAAAACUUACAAAGAAGCGAGUGUAGAUAAUAAAGGGGCAUCCAAUUUUCCAAAUAUAACUUGGCGUUUUAACGUGAGCAAGAAAGCUAGGCAUCUUGUUCGUCUGCACUUUUGUGACUUUUUCAGUGAUUCACCAGGUACUGUGAAAUUUGAUCUCUAUAUAUCUACCAAUUUCAGUCAUGAGAUCGAUCCUAAUCCUAAUGGGGUUAGUGAAAUGGCAUCUCCAUUUUUCUACGAUUUUGUGGUUCCUUCUGAUGAUUCCGGAUAUAUGAGUUUUAGGAUAGCCCCAGGAAAUAAUUCUAUUAAGAAAGUUGCUUUUCUGAAUGGACUGGAGAUCAUGGAGUUUGUGGGGAACACGACAAUUGUAGUGCCUGUUGAUGAACAUGAGCCAAAAAAGCAUCUAGCUCGCACAAUUGGUUCAGCUGGAGGUGGGACUCUAGUCUUGGUUUUGAUUUUAUUAUUCUCAUUAUGUUUGAGAUUAAAGCGACCAAAGCCCGUAAAAGCUGAGUUUCUUUAUGGAAAAGGGAGGUCUCCCAGUUGGAUAACUGAAAAAACUGAAAAUGCCUCCUCCAACUUUACUAAUUUAAACCUCAAACUGAAGAUGUCUUUAGCUGAAAUACUGGCUGCGACUCAUAAUUUCAAUCCAAAGUUGUUGAUUGGUGAGGGUGGGUUUGGCAAAGUUUAUAAAGGAACUCUUGAGACUGGUAUGAAGGUGGCUGUGAAACGAAGCGAUUCAAGUCAUGGCCAGGGUCUUCCAGAGUUCCGAACUGAGGUCAUGGUCCUUUCAAAGAUUCAACAUCGGCAUCUUGUUUCCUUGGUUGGCUACUGCGAUGAAGGAUCGGAGAUGAUAUUGGUUUUUGAAUUCUUGGAAAAGGGGACUUUGAGAGACCACUUAUACAGCACGAAGGAGUGCUCAAAGAAUCCAUCUGCAAAAACUGAAUUGAAUUGGAAACAAAGGCUUGAAAUCUGUAUUGGCUCAGCAAAAGGUCUCCAUUACCUCCAUACUGGUCCAGAUGGAGGAAUCUUUCACCGUGAUGUUAAGUCUACAAACAUCUUACUUGAUGAACAUUACGUGGCCAAAGUAGCUGAUUUCGGUCUUUCUCAACAAGGAAUGCCUGAUCCGGACCAUAUAAGCAUGGGUUUUAAAGGUACUUUUGGUUAUCUUGACCCUGAAUAUCUCAGAACUUUUCAGUUAACCAAUAAAUCAGAUGUGUAUUCUUUUGGUGUGGUUCUUCUUGAAGUGCUUUGUGCUCGACUCCCUGUUGUAGACUCACAGCAGAAGGAAGAAAUAAACUUAGCUGAAUGGGGGAUGUUUUGGCAAAAGGAAGGGCAGCUUGAAAAGAUUAUCGAUCCUCUACUGGCAGGUCACAUCAACCCUAAUUCGCUAAGAAAAUUUGGUGAAAUAGCUGAGAAGUGUUUGAAGCCACAAGGAGCAGACAGGCCUAAUAUGAUUGAUGUGUGCUGGGAUUUAGAAUACGCAAUGCAGCUUCAACAGACUGCAGUGCAUAGAGAGGCACAUGAGGACACCACCACAACAGGUGUUUCAUCAGAUUCAGCACUCCCACUUAUGCAGAACAUGAGUUCUAAUAUGUUCCCAGUUGAUGAUUUCUCAGAUACAACAGAUACUGUAAUGUAUCCCAAUUAAGAAUUAACGAUUCUAGAUGAUCCCCACGGGUCAGGAAUGAGCUCUCAGUGCCUCUUAUUAUUAUAUCAAAUUUCUGCAGCAACGAAUGGACUUUGAAGUCAUUUGAGUAUAUGCUCUAGUUAAUUCAUGUUGUCAGAUGAGAAGUUCUAAAUAACAGCAAGUACGUUCACAAGCUUUGUCGAUCACACCAAAUGCCUUUGUAAUUCUCUGGGUUGGAAGUGCCUGUUCAACAAAGAGUGAUUGAGGUGGAUAGGUUGACAGAUUUUAGAUGCUAAUGUUCAUCCCUUGGAUGCAUAUCUGUUAAAUAUAAAUAAUAAUAAAGUUUGAUUGGAUGCUUAAUGUACUCAAAAUUCAUGGUAAAUUUGUUUCAAUUAUGGGCUCAAUUUUAGAUAUUAAAUAUGAGGUCAGGCAAAUCAAGAUAACCUGCUCAAAACUUGAUAGGCCACCACUCUUAUUCAAACAAUGCAUCCUAAGAAUUACCUUUUCUUUUCAGGAACAAGUAUCAGAAAGGAUGCAUAAUUUUCAAGAAACCAGUUGACUCAGUUAACAUGAACUUUAGAAAUUUUAGUUAAUCAGAUUUACCUAAUUUUCAAGAAAUUGAGUUGAUUCAAUUGACACGAUCUUUAAAUUGGUCUAACUAACUAACUCACUACAUGUAAACCACCAUUUGAGCUUAUGGUGUCUCUAAAAUGGACAAAUUUGAAUCUAAUGUUUGCACACCCAGAUAGAAUUAGCCGACCCUUAUUUCUUUACCUACCCUUUAAGUUGUUGGUACUUAGCACUAAAUGUUAAUGAGACCCUUCUUACCAUAGUUAGGUCUAUAGAACAAUAUUAAAGCAUAUCAAUACUAGAGUAUGACCCAUUUAACACCAUAUUGUUUUUAAUAAACAAUAUAACCAUCAACUAAUAGGGUUAAUUAACUCAAAUAAUUGCCUUUGAACUAGGUCAAAUAGUGUUUUUCCAUACAUGCCCCAUUUAUCAUGUAGAUUAGUGUGUUUCACGGGUUUAAAAAGGCACAUGAAACACUAGGUAAAAUUUAAUUUUUUCAUUCCUUGCAUAAAUAAAUAUUCUCAUUCUCUAAGCACUUGUAUUUAUCAUCUUCUUCAAUAUACUUUGUUACAUACAAAACACAUCCUUCAAAGUUAUAUCCAUCAUACAACCGAACAAAUCUAAGAAUCAAAAGGUCCCCUAAGAUCUAUAUAGAACAUGUUUUAUAGGUGUCAUGACCAAUGCAAUGUUUCUUCUUCAACUUCUUAACCUAGUUAUUUUUUUGUUAAAAAGGCCUAAAUCCAAUGCAAUUUUCCUUAAACUUCAUUAUAAUUAAGUUUAUACAAAUAGUAAACUCAUCUAGUAUAUUACAGGUAGUCCAAUAUUGUCUUGAAAAUGAUAAACAUUUCCUUAUUUGGUAUAAACUAAACCUUUUUUAUUUAAAUUUUCUCAAUAUACUGAAGCAUUAGCAUUUUGUAAUGUAAAUUAUAGCCCAACCAAAUAUGUUAGUCUACUCAUUUAAUGAUACAUAUAAUCAAUAUGCUCUUGAAUUUUAUGAACAUAAUUAAAAGCAUAACUCAAUAAAUGAUCAAUAUAUUAUUGCUUAUCCACUACAACAAAAUAUUUAAAAAGCACAUAAAUAUUAUACUUAAUAUUUAAUGAAGGCAUGUAUCAUCAUAUAUGUUAAAAAAAUUCACACGAAAAUUAAGGAAUUUAUUUUAAUAAUGAAUAAAUUAACACCACAAUUAAACAAUUUAUAUUAACAAUAAAUUAAUAUUAAUUGCCUUAUUAUUAUUAUUUUAACUGCCAAAGGGCAGUUACACAUCUUUUAAAGAUGUGUUCUUUUGGAGGUUUUUUUUCAACUGCCAAAUGGCAGUUUCCAUUACCAAUUCACACGAUUAAUUGGUAAUUGUUCUUUUUUUCUUUUUUUGUUACAUAAUAAUUAUACAACUACCAUACAGAAAGCCUUUUCUAAUUAAUGAUAGAAAAGAUAAAAUCAUAACUCAGUUACUUCAUAAAAUUUUGUAAAUUCAAGACUCAAUGAAAGAAUUCUUUUAACAUGAAUUUACAUCUAACAUUUAUAUAAUAACAGAUGUACUGAAUAAAAAAAAUAUUAAAAUCAUGGCUCUGAUACCAAUAUAGAUUAGAAAGGAAAACUUACUUAUGAAAAUUCGUUUUCGUAUCCCGAUUACUUCAGUGCCAUUUUAAUUACUAGAAUUAAAGUGAUAUUCCACAGUACGAACGUCUUUAUAAAUCUUGUCAAAAUAAUGUAGAGAAUCCAAGAUGAGAGAAGAGAAAUAGAGAAUGAUUAUUCAACAAAUGAAAAACUUGCUUUUUCAUAUGAGUUGUGUCCAUUUAUAUAUAAUUAGAGAAAACAAUUACUUCCUUUAAUAACUCCUAUAAUAACUUGGAUCAUGCCCAUCUAUCAUGGACGGAUCAUGCCUAAAUUUUUUCCAUCUUCAUUCUUUAAUCAAGUUGUUUUGAAUUUAUUAAGUAGAUCAUGUCAUAUCGAGUUAAUCUUCACACAGUUUAAUUUUUUUUAAUUAGAAAAAUAUUAGCAAUAAAUGUUUCUUUUAUCAGGACAAGUUUUAAUUAAGUCUUGAAAAUAUGUUCGCAAAAGAAAAGGCUGGAGUGGGGGAUAGAUUACUAGAACAUUGAAUAACGAAUGUCCAUGGUUUUGUUGGAUAUGUACUAGAUAUUGGUGUCUUUUACUAGAGCAAUGUCCAUGACAUUGGUGUGCAAAGUGUUUUUUAUCAGAAAGUAAUAUUUUAUAUUUUUAAUUUAACAUAUCAAGAUAAUUAAAAUAAAAAUAUUAAUUUUAUAUUUUUAUAAAAUAAAUAUACUUUUAAAACAUGUACAAACAAAAUUAGAAAAUUAGUGCCAAACCGUAAGAAGCAAGGAAUGAGAACAGUCAACGAGAACGGUCAAUUAUUGUUUCUUCAUGUAUUUGUUAGUUUGUUUUUAAAAGAUUCUAUAACGACAGGGACAAAUUAAUUGAUCAAGCAUAGUUAGAAAGACACUCGCAAACUGGGUCAAGCAAGGAAUGAGAACAGUCAAUGAGAUUCUAUACUUUUUGGUUGUGAUAAUGCCUCUGUGCUUGCAAGUAGUUGUGACUUUUCUUCUCCUUCAUUCAAUUGGCUAAUCUCUUAUUGUUGGCGAUAAAAACUGCUCUUCACAGAGAGUAACAGAUACAAGUCAACAAGUAUUCCUCUGAAAUUUCAAACUUGCCAGUACUCCCUCAUAUCUUCCGCUCCUGACAACCUUUCCUCCAUUCAAAGAAAAAGCAUCCAAUAUCCUCAUCCAAUUUCUAUGGAGUUCACUCUUCAUCCUCUCUUUCUUCUUCAAUCUCUUCUUCUUCUUUCAUCCUCAGUAUCUUACAAUCCAUCGGUUAAGUACUUCAUGAACUGCGGAUCAGGCACUGAUGUCGAUGAUCUUGACGGUUACCCGCGGACUUUUGUUGGUGAUGAGAAUUCUAACUCUUCCUUCUCUGUAGGAAAAAGCAAAUCUAUCCAAAAUGAAAACCCCUUACCCGGCAUAUCACUCCUAUAUCAUACAGCCAGAAUCUAUACGAAAUUAACCCCGUAUAUGCUUGAUAUCACUCAAAAUGGUUCCUACCUUGUCCGCCUUCAUUUCUUUCCAUUCAGCUUCAAAGGGACUCAUCUUGCUGAUGCUUUGUUCGAUGUGUCUGCUUCAAAUUUUUCACUUUUAACAGAUU